rnacentral:rRNA from 1 species
CACGUAGGGCGCAAGCGUUUGUCCGGAAUUAUUGGGCGUAAGAGCUCGUAGCGGUCUGUUGCGUCCGCUGUGAAAACUCGGGGCUUAACCCCGAGCCUGCAGUGGAUACGGGCAGACUAGAGGUAGGUAGGGGAGAAUGGAAUUCCCGGUGUAGCGGUGAAAUGCGCAGAUAUCGGGAGGAACACCGAUGGCGAAGGCAGGUCUCUGGGCCAUAACUGACGCUGAGAAGCGAAAGCAUGGGGAAGCGAACGAGGA